rnacentral:rRNA from 1 species
CCUACGGGAGGCAGCAGUGAGGAAUAUUGGUCAAUGGGCGAGAGCCUGAACCAGCCAAGUCGCGUGAGGGAGUACUGCCCUAUGGGUUGUAAACCUCUUUUGUCGGGGAGCAAAAGCCGGACGUGUCCGGCUGUGAGAGUACCCGAAGAAAAAGCAUCGGCUAACUCCGUGCCAGCAGCCGCGGUAAUACGUAGGUGGCAAGCGUUAUCCGGAUUUACUGGGUGUAAAGGGCGAGUAGGCGGGAGUGCAAGUCAGAUGUGAAAACUAUGGGCUCAACCGAUAGAGUGCAUUUGAAACUGCGGUUCUUGAGUGAGGGAGAGGCAGGCGGAAUUCCCGGUGUAGCGGUGGAAUGCGUAGAUAUCGGGAGGAACACCAGUGGCGAAGGCGGCCUGCUGGACAUUAACUGACGCUGAGGCGCGAAAGCGUGGGGAGCAAACAGGAUUAGAUACCCUUGUAGUC